ACACCGUUGGUGAAACGGUAUCAUGCAUCGUUGCCAUGGACUCAACUCCUAUUCGAUGCGGCAAGGGUUCGACUCCCUUACGGUGUA